rnacentral:lncRNA from 1 species
GCAUUAAGUAACAGCCGCUUUGUUACCAUUACUGUAUGAAUGUGAUGCACUGGGAGGCGCACAGCCCACAGGUGCCAGGUCUUUUCCUAAGAAAGCCUGAGCUUCAAAGGUGUCCAUCACUUCUGUCCUGAGUGCCGAGGUACCAUCACCGAGGGCACUCCCAGCGCUUUGGGCACAAACUUUUAACACGCUUAGAGCCGCAGCCCCGGCAGCACGGGCAGCUCGCUAGCGGUUGCUUUCAGGCUGCCAGCCAAAGCACCGAUGCUUUGGGGCGCGGGGGAAGAAGCAGGGGAGACUUACUGUGCGAAACUCGGUGCACCUCAUAGAAAGAAUACAAGUGGGAGCCGACCAUCAGGCACAGAACAAUGCUGGAAGUGCUUCCCUGGGACUUGAGGAAGACAAAUGCAGUUAUCUUUUCUGCUUGAGGUGUUUUACCACUCCUACUCAUUGCCAGAAGGGCUACAGGGUGCAGAGGUCCAUGGAACUAAGAAGGCUCAGUGGAGCUGACUGUUCCCAGCACCACAAACGGAGCCAGCGCAGCCCUGUGCAGUACCCAGCCAUUCAGUGGGCUCGGAAACUUGGCGCAUGCUCCUUGGCUACCUGGUGCAGUUGUGACCUUAUGGCCUGUGGGGUCCCAUUUCCUCUACACACACAUACUGUCUGCAUCUGCCUCCAAAUUGUAAAAUAAAUAAAUAAAUAAUGCUUAUAGUUGCUUUCCUAUCUGAAUAUAUGGAUGACAUCUUAAGAACUACAUGAAC